AUGCUUUGGCAGCACAAUUACUAAAGUUAGAACAACAGAGAUUAGCAUGGCUCUUGUGCAAGAAUGGUACGCAAAUUUAUGUGGUGUACCAUAUUUUU
rnacentral:snRNA from 1 species